CUUCGGCCUGGGGCAAAGCCGCGAACGGGUGAGUAACACGUGGGUAACCUGCUCCGAAGACCGGGACAACUCGAGGAAACUCGGGCUAAUACCGGAUGUGGUCGCCGUUCACAAGAACGGCGAGCAAAGGGAGCUUCGGCCCCCGCUUCAGGUUGGGCCCGCGGCCUAUUAGCUUGUUGGUGAGGUAAAGGCUCACCAAGGCGACGAUAGGUAGCUGGUCUGAGAGGACGAUCAGCCACACUGGGACUGAGAUACGGCCCAGACUCCUACGGGAGGCAGCAGUGGGGAAUCUUGCGCAAUGGGCGACAGCCUGACGCAGCAACGCCGCGUGGGGGAAGAAGGCCUUCGGGUUGUAAACCCCUUUCGGGAGGGACGAAGCUUCGGUAGUUAAUAGCUGUCCGGAGUGAAGGUACCUCAAGAAGAAGCCCCGGCUAACUACGUGCCAGCAGCCGCGGUAAUACGUAGGGGGCAGGCGUUGUCCGGAAUCAUUGGGCGUAAAGCGCGCGUAGGCGGCUGGACAAGUCCGGUGUAAAAGCCGCAGGCUCAACCUGCGAAUGCCGCUGGAAACUGUCCGGCUAGAGUCCGGGAGGGGCGAGUGGAAUUCCUGGAGUAGCGGUGAAAUGCGCAGAUAUCAGGGAGAACACCAAUGGCGAAGGCAGCUCGCUGGAACGGUACUGACGCUAAGGCGCGAAAGCGUGGGGGGCAAACAGGAUUAGAUACCCUGGUAGUCCACGCCGUAAACGAU
rnacentral:rRNA from 1 species